rnacentral:tRNA from 1 species
GCCCUUGUGGUGUAAUGGUUAACACACUCGGCGCGUAUUCCAGAGGUCCAGAUUCGAGUCCCGGGGAGGGCA